rnacentral:misc_RNA from 1 species
GAUGAAGAACGUAGCGAAAUGCGAUAAGUAAUGUGAAUUGCAGAAUUCAGUGAAUCAUCGAAUCUUUGAACGCACAUUGCGCCCGCCAGUAUUCUGGCGGGCAUGCCUGUUCGAGCGUCAUUUCAACCCUCAAGCCCAGCUUGGUGUUGGGGAUCGGCACAGGCGCCCUCGGGCGCCCGCCGUCCCCUAAAUCUAGUGGCGGUCCCGCUGCAGCCUCCUCUGCGUAGUAGUUUUCUCCUCGCAAGGGCAGCUCGGUGGCGACCUCGCCGUAAAACCCCCAACUUCUGAAAGGUUGACCUCGAAUCAGGUAAGAAUACCCGCUGAACUUAAGCAUAUCAAUAAGCGGAGGA